AACUAAACUCUUGAAGGAGUUCAAUACAACAGAAUAGGAAUCCUUAGUCCUUAUAUUUUUCAUUCUCAUCUUCCCUUUUUUGUCUUUCGUUCCCUUCCCUGUUUUACCCUUAGAUUGUGAUCCCCUUGAGCCAGAGACUGGAUCUGCAUUUCACCUUUGGACUCACCCAGCGCUGAAUAUAGCGUUUUGCACCUAGCUAUUUGCACAGGUUCAGACAGUGCUGUGUCCCAGAUGAAAACUGGAAAAUGAUGGCCCAAGGGAGACCAGCACGACACACUGCCAUCAAGAAAGGAACCGGCUCCUUUUGAGCAAAAACUCUUCGGGAACGGGAGACGAGGAGAGCGAAGCAAAAACAGCUCCGGGAACUGGAGUCAUCAAACGUGACCCUACAGCAAGGGCCAGCCUUUAUUGUGUGCCCAAUUAGGACCGGACCGAAAACCUCACACUGGGCCUUUUUUCUGUGGGUGAAUUUCACUCCUGAGUUCCCACCACCAACGGUGUCUUCUUCUAACGUGGAAGGACGACUGCGUACUUGUGAAAACUAAACGGCAAAGAGCGUCAACUUACUAGCAAUUAAUACAUGUUAGGUAUGGGUUUAUUUCUUAAUCUGAUGAGUCACCAGUUCUCUGUUUUAUCUAUCCAUCCUAGAGCUUCCGGGGAUUUUUCUCCCUGGGCACUUAUUCAACGUCUCUUGUUGCGGUUAUCCAGGAUAUUUAAAGAGCACCUCCCACUCCCCCGAGCACGCCAUAGAACAAAGGUUUUAUUGUAUCUGCUUAAUCCUAUAAUGGAACAGCCUAUUUGUUAUUUCAUAAAACCCGCAGCGAUUGGUUUAAUAAUCCAAGAAAAUACACGGUCCUGUUAUUGCCGGAGCCGUCGGCCUGACUGCAAAGACCCAACGGCUGGUGGAGCUUCUGGAGAUGGUUGAAGGUGUGCUAGAGGUGCUGGCGUACACCACGGCUGGCCAGAAAGCCCUGGAAAGAAAGGAGGAAUUGCAUAUGUUCGAGUUAGCCAGCACUGAAAGAAAAAAAGAAAAAGAAGCCAUUCGAACGGCUGAGAGGCCUCCGACACAGCCACAUCUUGUCUUCUGCCGUCGAGUCGUCUCCGCCCCGUAGCGACUCCGUGGACGCAUCUCCCCUAGAAUGCCCCACCUCCACCUGCAAUCGUUUUGGUGGUGUAUCCAGAGAGUUAGGGGUGACGAAAGGAGGUCUCCAAUCAACGCUGGGGGUUCUUGUCUCUCGGGGGGCACGUCUCCAUGAUGACGAUGACGAUGAUGGUAUUCGUUAAGCGUUUACUCUGCGUCAAGCACCGUUCUAAGC